ensembl:lncRNA
CUGCGGUUGGAAGCUACAAAUAAAUCCAUGGAGCAGAGCAUCUCAUAAAUACCUUUUCAUGGAAGAAAGUAAGAGAUAAACACCACUAAUGAUUCCCAGACCAAAGGGAAACCAACUGCGUCAAUCUACGCAUGAGAUCCUUGCAGUGCCUUUCUCCCUGUUGGGGACCUCCCGUGAUUGGCAGCAGAAUCGUUUGGGCAGUAAUUAGGAAGGCAACCUGAAAUUUUAAAAAUUCCUCAAAAACAAAAAACAAAAAAAAAGAAACCUAUAAGGAAAAAAAAAAAAGAGGGGAGACAUGAUUUAAAUGUUUAAUGAUAUCAUCUUUUCUUUUAUGUUACGUGAUAUUCUAAAACUAUGCUAUCACAAGCUGUAAUAGCAUAAUAGGAUAAAAUUGGAUAAUUGAAGAGUCCUGUGCAUGAAGUUUCCCUAUAAUGGAGCACACUAAUUUGGCUGUUAGUUUUUUGCAGGGAGGAAGUGGGAUAUCUAUUUUUGUUUGUUUGUUUGUGAUAGUCCCAUUUCAGUAAAGCGACUGCCACGGGUACUGUAAGUGGUAAGUGGGAUUGGACAACUGGAGGUCUGGAGGACAGCUGAUGGUCUAAAACAUGUUACCCUGCUUUAGUCUAAUUUUACAGACUGCAUGCCUUUUGCUGCAGACCAUCACUGUAUUUAUGAAAAGCCUUAUGGAGGAAGCAAGAAUGCAGUUGGGAGACUUUAAACUGAGAGAAAAUGAAUAUCUCUGCUCUCGUAAAUGAUGAAAAAAUGUUUGAGAUGAAGUAGAUGCUGACAUUCAGAAAGAAUUGUGUCUGCAGCUAUUGAAUUCCCUAUCCAUUUUUGGCACAUUAUAUACAUGCAAUUUGUUUCCUCUGUAUUAGCUCUAUGUAGAUAUACACAAACAUUCUCUGCAUUACCUAAUCUUGGAAAGACAAGCAAUACGUAAUGAUCUGAUUCAUAAACUGCAGAAGUGGUGUUCUCACCAUUGAUGAUGACAAUGAAUCAUUCAGACUGAAAUACCGCCUUGCGUUACAUCUGUUCUAGUAUUACCUUCUGCUGCUUACAGCAGUGAGGGGGAGCUCUGUUUGAAAAUGAGAGACUGAGUGGUCUGAAAGACAAUAUGCUGCAAACAGGGCAUUCAGAUGGCAUUGUCCUUUUUACUGACUUCUGUGAAGACUUUGUUUCUUCCGAGUCUGUGAGUAUUGUAAAAUGGUCCUUGCAAAUACACCCAUGCCUAAGAAAUGAAUCCUGAGAUCGACUUAUGUACAACCGUUACUGAAACUCACCUAUCACUUCUUAGAGUUUAUCAGAUCUUCUCUGCACAUUUUCCUCCACUACUGACCCGAAUAUUUGGAAUAGACCCUACUUGAAAAGGCAACGUAGCUGUAUUUCUUCCUCCCAGAACACUCAGUGGGUGACACAGCCUGAGCAUUGCAGUCCUAGCCCAUUAUGGGUGGUUUCCUAGAAACGUGUUGGCCAUAGGGCUCCUAGGAAAUUCUAUGAGGUCCCACUUCUCCUCCCUGUAGCCGUGCCAUGUGGUGAGCAGAUCCAAGCAAGCGUUUUAGUUUACCAGCUCUGAGUCUUCAUACGCUCUAAAUAUUUAGGGCAAGCUGAUUGGCCGCCCAUUGUCUGCGAGAGAUGGAGGAAUGGAGGAGACUAAUUUGGCUGAGAUUGUGCAAGUGCAAAAUGAUGAUUACGGGAUUUGUGAAGCAGUGCUGGCAAUUAUGCAAGUGCCAGAAGGGAGGAAGCACACUUCCCAUUGCCCGUGCAGUGGCAGACUGGGGAGCUGGCUCCUGAGCCUGUACGUCAGCAAGCAUAGUGAAAAGGAAGUGGUGUCACCCUAGACCACCGUGUGUGUGUGCAUGCUGUCAGCUCCUUUGUGGGUACCUUGAGAACCUCUAGCAGGUACUGAGGGGUAGCAUGCAUCAGAUUGCUAUGAAGCAGCUCUUCUGGGCACGUUCCUCGUUGAGAUGGGUGCAGGACACAUUGGCCUGCUGGGCAGAGCUGCUCUCUAGGAGGCCACUACAUCUGUGCCCCAAGCCUUGUGCUGGCUGCCUGCUGGGUUCUCCGGACAGUGGCUUCCAAGUACAGCUGACGCGCUCUGGAAGGCUGAGGACAUACCACCAUUUUCUGUCUGCUCGAGGGGUUGGGCUGAUGCUCUCUGAGUGCAUGAAAAAAAGCAUGGCCAGCAGAUGGAGGGAGGUGAUCGUUUCCCUCCACUCUGCCCUGGUGAGGCCACAUCUGGGGCACUGUGUCCAGUUCUGAGCUCCCCGGUUCAAGAUGGGGAACUUCUAGAGAAUCCAGUGGAAGGCCACAGGGAUGAUGAGGAGACCUUGAGCAUCUGGAGGAAAGACUGAGAGCCCUGGGGCUGUUCAGCCUGGAGAAGGUUGAGACGGGUUCUGACCAAUGCUUAUAAGUAUACCCAAAGGGUGGGAAUUGUUGUGGAUUGGGCCAGGCUCUUUUCAGUGGCGCAGUGACAGGACAAGGGACACAAUGCAGAACAUGGGAAGUUCCAUACGAACAUGAGGAAGAAGGUCUUCACUGUGAGGGUGACAGAGCACCAAACAGGCUGCUGAGAGGUGGUGCAGCCUCCUUCUCUGGAGGUAUUCAAGACCUGCCCGGGCACCCACCUCAGUAACCUGCUGUAGGGAGCUGCUUUACCAGUGGGGUUGGACUCAGUGAUCUCAGGGGUCCCUUCCAACCCCUGUGGUCCUGUGGCCCUGCGCUUUUCCUCUCAGUGCUCGCAAGGCACACGAGUUACACCAACUGAGGGAAAGACUUGCCAAAUAGUAACUGUUACGCUUUGUCCUGAUCCAAAGCCACAUCCUAUUGGAUAUUCGGAUAAGCCUUGCGCACCGUGGGAUUUGCAUUCAUUUUCACCCUCAAGUGCAUCAGAUCACGACAGAGGGUCUUUGUGGUGCCUUUUGUCGUGGUCAGAUGGGGUUUAAUCUCGAGGCUCCAAGAAAUCACAAACCAGACAAGGCGAUUGUUCUCCCUUUGACUGCAAGCGCACGUCACGGCGCUCCACAUGCUGUUGAAAGCGGAUUGCUGGAAUGACACGCGGGUGCCGCUAGACGUGGCGCCGCUUGCCGCGACCACGCGUGGAAGCAUGACUUCAUUCCUUUCCGCGCUGCCGGGUACCCCCUCGUUAGACCUGCCCCCCGCUCCUCAGCCUUCCAGGUGCGUGCUCGAACCCGCUCCAAGCGCACACCUUCAGGUACCCCAACCCCCGAAAUUCACGGCGCUCGGACGACCGCCUCUCAUCCCGCCGGUCGCCUCCGCUCCGUAGCCCGGCCGGGGCCGCUCCCGGCGGCGAGGGGUGCCCGGCCGG